GUGGGGAAUCUUCCGCAAUGGGCGAAAGCCUGACGGAGCAACGCCGCGUGAGUGAAGAAGGCCUUCGGGUCGUAAAGCUCUGUCUUCAGGGACGAAAAGGCAGGGGAGUAAUAUGCCCUUGUUGUGACGGUACCUGAGGAGGAAGCUCCGGCUAACUACGUGCCAGCAGCCGCGGUAAUACGUAGGGAGCGAGCGUUGUCCGGAAUUACUGGGCGUAAAGGGCGCGUAGGCGGGAAUUUAAGUAAGGUGUGAAAACUCCGGGCUCAACCUGGAGACUGCACUUGAAACUGGAUUUCUUGAGGGCAGGAGAGGAAAGUGGAAUUCCUAGUGUAGCGGUGAAAUGCGUAGAUAUUAGGAGGAACACCAGUGGCGAAGGCGACUUUCUGGACUGUACCUGACGCUGAGGCGCGAAAGCGUGGGGAGCGAACAGGAUUAGAUACCCGGGUAGUCC
rnacentral:rRNA from 1 species